UACUCCUACGGGAGGCAGCAGUGGGGAAUAUUGARCAAUGGGCGCAAGCCUGAUGCAGCCAUGCCGCGUGUAUGAAGAAGGCCUUCGGGUUGUAAAGUACUUUCAGCGGGGAGGAAGGCGAUGUAGUUAAUAACAUCAGCGAUUGACGUAUCCUGCA
rnacentral:rRNA from 1 species